rnacentral:tRNA from 1 species
AUGCUUAGCCCAGCCGGUUCAGAGCAUCCCGACCUACAGUCGGGAGGGUCACUGGUUCGAACCCAGUAGCUCCCA